GUUUCCAGCUCAGCCGUGGAUGUACCAGCAAGUUCCAGCUUCUUCCUGGGAGCUAUGGCAACAGCAGACGUCUGAACAUCAGGUAAAAAAACAAACAGAGAAAUCUCACCAAGAGCCAAAGAAACCUGGACUGGUACCAGGAAAUAUCUGGAAGCAUGAAAAAAAAAAAAAAAAUCUGUUUUUCUAGUAAUGUUCUUUCUCUGGGCAGUACGUAUUUGUGCCACUAGAUGUCCUGGCAGCAUCAGAGCUACAACGCAGCUUGCAAAAAAACCCACGGACCUACAAACAUCGGAUGAUUUAUUCUGAAAAACUCCGUGUCUCAUGGACAGCUGUGGAGGUUGGAUGGAAGGGAUCAGCAGUGCCAGAAAAUCACGAUGGAGGAACAGUCUGCAGGUACAGCUCAGCACAGAACGAACCAGGCUGCCAUUUUAUUAACAUGUUUUGUGAGCCAGGAUACAGGUAUGGAAGGGAAGGUGAGUAAGAUAACACAGUCCCAGGGCAGGAGCCACUCAGGAUCCAGUCCCACAGUCUCUGCGGAAAGAGAAGGGCAGGCCCAGGGGGCAGAGCUGGAAGCAGCCAAAAUCGAGGUGAUCUGCUGAGUUCACAGCAAUGAGACAGGGGCAAGGCUGAGUUGGGAAGGCAAUCUGCAGUUUGGGUGAUGGUAACCAAGGUCAGUCAUGGUCUGAUGAUGGCUGGACAG